rnacentral:rRNA from 1 species
UACGUAGGUGACCAGCGUUGUCCGGAUUUACUGGGCGUAAAGAGCGUGUAGGCGGCCAAACAGGUCCGCUUGUGAAAACUGGAGGCUCAACCUCCAGACGUCGACGGAAACCGUGUGGCUAGAGUCCGGAAGAGGAGAGUGGAAUUCCUGGUGUAGCGGUGAAAUGCGCAGAUAUCAGGAAGAACACCAAUGGCGAAGGCAGCUCUCUGGGGACGGUACUGACGCUGAGACGCGAAAAGCGUGGGGAGCGAACAGG